rnacentral:snoRNA from 1 species
AAGCCAGGGUGUGGACAUCUUCAGAGCAAGUCUUUAUACCUCUCCCAUGCUUCGUAUAAAGACUUGGAAUCCAAUUGCAUGAAAGAAGUGAUGUCAUUUCUCAUCUU